rnacentral:rRNA from 1 species
GAUGAACGCUAGCGGCAGGCCUAAUACAUGCAAGUCGAACGGUCUCUAGCAAUAGAGAUAGUGGCGCACGGGUGCGUAACGCGUAACCAACCUACCCAAAUCUGGGGGAUAGCCCGCCGAAAGGCGGAUUAAUACCGCAUAAAACAACAGAACGGCAUCGUUUAAUUGUUAAAGAUUUAUUGGAUUCGGAUGGGGUUGCGUGCCAUUAGCUAGUUGGCGGGGUAACGGCCCACCAAGGCGACGAUGGCUAGGGGAGCUGAGAGGCUGGUCCCCCACACGGGCACUGAGAUACGGGCCCG